AAUCUCUUCUGAUGACGUGCACUGGGCUCUGAGACCACAUGCUGACAACGUGCAUCUUUGGCCCUGACAAGCCAAAGAGUCUGAGGAGACU